rnacentral:rRNA from 1 species
GACGAAGGACCCGAGCGUUAUCCGGAUUCAUUGGUUUGAAAGGGUGCGUAGGCGGAUUGAUAAGUCAGUGGUGAAAGCCUGUUGCUUAACAACAAGAACUGCCAUUGAUACUGUUGAUCUUGAAUAUGUUUGAUGUGGGCGGAAUAUGACAUGUAGCGGUGAAAUGCUUAGAUAUGUCAUAGAACACCGAUUGCGAAGGCAGCUCAACAAAGCCAUUAUUGACGCUGGAGGCACGAAAGCGUGGGGAUCAAACAGG